UGCAGAAUCCCGUGAACCAUCGAGUCUUUGAACGCAAGUUGCGCCCGAUGCCAUUAGGUUGAGGGCACGUCUGCCUGGGUGUCACAUAUCGAAGCCUCCUGCCAAUUUCCUUUUGAUAGGUAUUGUGCAUGCUGGUGAAUGUUGGCCUCCCGUGAGCUCUAUUGUCUCAUGGUUGGUUGAAAAUCGAGACCUUGGUAGGGUGUGCCAUGAUAGAUGGUGGUUGUGUGACCCACGAGAAACCAAGAUCAUGUGCUGCCCUAUUCAAUUCGGCCUCUUUUACCCAUAUGCGUUUUGUAAACGCUCGUGAUGAGACCUCAGGUCAGGCGGGGCUACCCGCUGAAUUUAAGCAUAUCAAUAAGCGGAGGAAAAGAAACUAACAAGGAUUCCCUUAGUAACGGCGAGCGAACCGGGAUAAGCCCACCAUGAAAAUCGGUCGCCUUCGGCGUUCGA
rnacentral:ncRNA from 2 species